rnacentral:ncRNA from 12 species
ACUAUGGAGUAUGAUGAGCCUAGAGUAGUAUUUUAUAUGAAAUAGCAUACGAUGAAAUAGUAA